AUUGAACGCUGGCGGCAGGCCUAACACAUGCAAGUCGAACGAGUGGCGGACGGGUGAGUAAUGUCUGGGAAACUGCCCGAUGGAGGGGGAUAACUACUGGAAACGGUAGCUAAUACCGCAUACCAUCGGAUGUGCCCAGAUGGGAUUAGCUAGUAGGUGGGGUAACGGCUCACCUAGGCGACGAUCCCUAGCUGGUCUGAGAGGAUGACCAGUAACACUGGAAAUGAGACACGGCACAGACUCCAACGGGUGGCACCAGGGGGGAAUAGGGUAUAAUGGGCGCAAGCAUGAUGGAGCCAUGCCGCGUGUAUGAAGAAGGCAUUCGGGUGGUAAAGCACUUUCAGAGAGGAGGCGUUCCUCGCAGAAGAAGCACCGGCUAAAGCCGUGUCAGCAGCCGCGGUAAUUC
rnacentral:rRNA from 1 species